CACACAGCUGUGACAUCUCUCUGUAUUUGUCGGUGUAUUUCCCAGGCACUCGCAAUCGCAAUCGCCUGACCCGGCCAGCCCCUUGAGCCGACUGACCCGGCUAAUUAUGCACGCAUGCUGCCCAGUCGGUUGCUUUUACUACUCCGCAGCCAACACCACGGCCACUUAAUUGACGGUUGAGUGCUGCGGAAAGAGCCGAAACAAAAGUUAAUUCAAUCAUAAAAGCGGGCCAUAAACUAUGAGACCGAAAACGGAAAAAAAUGUAUAAAAAUGAAAAGAAAAAUAUCCCCCACGCUUACCCAUAAUUCUGCAUAAAGUAAAUUGGGAAAUGUAUGAUAAAUGACAGGGCUGCGGAUCUCAACAACAAUGUGCAACAACAACGAGUGGCUGAGUGGAAGGAAAGAAAAAUUGGUCGGUGGGAAAAACCUUGUGAAAUAUUAAUGCGCCGGCAUAUAAAUAAAAUAAGUAGUAAUUGUGGCUAGUGGAGGUUCCACUCAGCCGUUUCUGAA